GCACCCGCAGCAAAUGUCGAUGAUGCCGUGUGUCUCGUCUACGCUUUUGCUGCAGUGAUAUAAAUUCUUCGCACCUCACCAAAGUUCACAGCGAAACGAGACAAUGCGCUGUGGAGCGUUGGGAGAUGGGCUCCUUCUUUUAGCCUCUUUCCUGCGCGAUAGGGAAUUUUGUUGCGUACUAUCCGCGAACGAUGGGAAAAAAACACCAUUUCAUUUGGGCGUAUGUAUUGGUGACGACGUUGCAAAUGCUUUACAACACGGUGUGUAUUUGAUAGUGUUUCUUCCAGAUUUCUUAUCUUUCGUUGCGCUUCAGGGGCGAGCGUCGUGAUGGACGUUCUUCUAGAAUCGGACAGAAACCCCCUAGUGCAGCUGCUGUUACUACUACUACCCACAUAUAGCACCAAGCAUUAUGCUAGCACCCGUUUUCCUGCAAAAACUGCAUCAUACUCCGAAAUAAACAAUAACGACAAACGACGAGGAUGAUUGUUAUGCGAACUUUCCCUUCGAUUUGAAAGGCUGUUGGAAACGGAGGAUGGUUUCGGGAGAUUGUAUUUGUAGUGGGGCAGUUACUACACCAUCAAGUCAAAACCGAUCAUUGCCGCUAGCUGCUAUAGUUCAUCGCAUCGUAAUACUGAAAGACAGACACAUACACAUUAGACCUGUGGCCAAAGACUCGUUUCCAUUUCAUUUGAUUAUGGUUUUGUGCAAUGCAAAUGAGACGACAAACAGCCGUACAAUAAUCGUGCAGCUGCCUAACGAAACAAAACAAAGCUUUAAAAUAAAAUUAAGAUUACAAUAAUA